AGAGUUUGAUCAUGGCUCAGAUUGAACGCUGGCGGCAGGCUUAACACAUGCAAGUCGAGCGGAGAGAGGUAGCUUGCUACUGAUCUUAGCGGCGGACGGGUGAGUAAUGCUUAGGAAUCUGCCUAUUAGUGGGGGACAACAUUUCGAAAGGAAUGCUAAUACCGCAUACGUCCUACGGGAGAAAGCAGGGGAUCUUCGGACCUUGCGCUAAUAGAUGAGCCUAAGUCGGAUUAGCUAGUUGGUGGGGUAAAGGCCUACCAAGGCGACGAUCUGUAGCGGGUCUGAGAGGAUGAUCCGCCACACUGGGACUGAGACACGGCCCAGACUCCUACGGGAGGCAGCAGUGGGGAAUAUUGGACAAUGGGCGCAAGCCUGAUCCAGCCAUGCCGCGUGUGUGAAGAAGGCCUUAUGGUUGUAAAGCACUUUAAGCGAGGAGGAGGCUACUGAAGUUAAUACCUUCAGAUAGUGGACGUUACUCGCAGAAUAAGCACCGGCUAACUCUGUGCCAGCAGCCGCGGUAAUACAGAGGGUGCAAGCGUUAAUCGGAUUUACUGGGCGUAAAGCGCGCGUAGGCGGCUAAUUAAGUCAAAUGUGAAAUCCCCGAGCUUAACUUGGGAAUUGCAUUCGAUACUGGUUAGCUAGAGUGUGGGAGAGGAUGGUAGAAUUCCAGGUGUAGCGGUGAAAUGCGUAGAGAUCUGGAGGAAUACCGAUGGCGAAGGCAGCCAUCUGGCCUAACACUGACGCUGAGGUGCGAAAGCAUGGGGAGCAAACAGGAUUAGAUACCCUGGUAGUCCAUGCCGUAAACGAUGUCUACUAGCCGUUGGGGCCUUUGAGGCUUUAGUGGCGCAGCUAACGCGAUAAGUAGACCGCCUGGGGAGUACGGUCGCAAGACUAAAACUCAAAUGAAUUGACGGGGGCCCGCACAAGCGGUGGAGCAUGUGGUUUAAUUCGAUGCAACGCGAAGAACCUUACCUGGCCUUGACAUAGUGAGAACUUUCCAGAGAUGGAUUGGUGCCUUCGGGAACUUACAUACAGGUGCUGCAUGGCUGUCGUCAGAUCGUGUCGUGAGAUGUUGGGUUAAGUCCCGCAACGAGCGCAACCCUUUUCCUUAUUUGCCAGCGAGUAAUGUCGGGAACUUUAAGGAUACUGCCAGUGACAAACUGGAGGAAGGCGGGGACGACGUCAAGUCAUCAUGGCCCUUACGGCCAGGGCUACACACGUGCUACAAUGGUCGGUACAAAGGGUUGCUACCUAGCGAUAGGAUGCUAAUCUCAAAAAGCCGAUCGUAGUCCGGAUUGGAGUCUGCAACUCGACUCCAUGAAGUCGGAAUCGCUAGUAAUCGCGGAUCAGAAUGCCGCGGUGAAUACGUUCCCGGGCCUUGUACACACCGCCCGUCACACCAUGGGAGUUUGUUGCACCAGAAGUAGCUAGCCUAACUGCAAAGAGGGCGGUUACCACGGUGUGGCCGAUGACUGGGGUGAAGUCGUAACAAGGUAGCCGUAGGGGAACCUGCGGCUGGAUCACCU
rnacentral:rRNA from 1 species